AUGUCAGUCCAAGUCGUCGCCAAGAAGGCGGCGGAGGCGGCCGCAUUCGCCAAGGCCAUCAAGAAACCCUCCAAGUGCGUCACCGACUUCCUCGACGACCUCGCCGUACUAUCCAAGCACAUCAAGACGCUCCCGGCGACGCUCGAAACCGCCAUAGACGCGGGCUUCUUUGAGCAAUUUAACACAAAGAGCAAAUGUCACGGAAAUUGUUGCUCGGACAACUUCUCGGUGAGCCCCAACGCGGAAGAUUCGAUCGAGCUCAUUGAUUUCUCCUCCAUGUCCGAGGGAUGGAAGCCGGAUACGCGAGUUGGAGGCCGCUUCUUGGUUCUCGCGGAUAGCGAAGAAGACGACAAGAGCGAGAGUGAUGAGGUCGCCGAAGAUUAUGGCAAAGUGGAGGAAGAAAGGGAAAUUAGCCAGGCCGCCGGGGCGGCAGCCACCGCCGCCGAAGAUGUCACCGACAGUCUCGAUUCAAACGGUCAGACGGAGGUUGAGCCAAGCAGCUCCUUGACCAGGCGAUAUCGAUGUGGUGUAGAGACCUUGUCCGCGUUGUCGAACAAAUCCGGCUGUACCGCCGGUGGUGACACGAGGGGCACCGGCGUGGUCUCUGACGUGACCACAUCCGCUCCUUCCACAUGCAUGGGCGGCGAUGUGGCCGCGGGCGUGUCGGGGAUGAUGCUGCCUACAGCAGACAAGGCACGCGACGAACUUGCAGAGGCAGCCAGCCAAGGCGCGAAGCGGGACGCCAACUCGCCAGCAACAUACAAGGGCUACGACACCUGCCUCAGCACCACCAACAGCGGGCUCCUCAACCCGGGCGUCUACUACUUCCUGCACCUCCUCCCGGCGUCGAUCAAGAAGGCCACGGCAAGUGGUCGACCCUUCCCCUUCACCCUUCGGGCAAUGAUCAAGGCGGCUGACCUGUGCCUCCUUCUCCGGUGGACCGCCGGCGAGACUGGAGUUGCGGAGAAUCAGUGCUCGCAGCACCGCCCAGGAGAAAGAUCGCUGGCGAGACUUGAAAUCUCGGAGAACCAGGGCUCGCCGCCCGGCUUAGGAGAAAGUUUUGAACUGUGA
rnacentral:rRNA from 1 species